GCUCUAGUAGCUCAGCGUCAGAGCGCCGGUCUUGUAAACCGGAUGUCGGAAGCUAAAUUCUUCCCUAGUGCU
rnacentral:tRNA from 1 species